AAUCCAUAGGUUAAUGAGGCGAACCGGGGGAACUGAAACAUCUAAGUACCCCGAGGAAAAGAAAUCAACCGAGAUUCCCCCAGUAGCGGCGAGCGAACGGGGAGGAGCCCAGAGCCUGAAUCAGCAUGUGUGUUAGUGGAAGCGUCUGGAAAGGCGCGCGAUACAGGGUGACAGCCCCGUACACAAAAGCGCAUGUGCUGUGAGCUCGAUGAGUAGGGCGGGACACGUGGUAUCCUGUCUGAAUAUGGGGGGACCAUCCUCCAAGGCUAAAUACUCCUGACUGACCGAUAGUGAACCAGUACCGUGAGGGAAAGGCGAAAAGAACCCCGGCGAGGGGAGUGAAAAAGAACCUGAAACCGUGUACGUACAAGCAGUGGGAGCACAGGUUUACCUGUGUGACUGCGUACCUUUUGUAUAAUGGGUCAGCGACUUAUAUUCUGUAGCAAGGUUAACCGAAUAGGGGAGCCGGAGGGAAACCGAGUCU
rnacentral:rRNA from 3 species